rnacentral:rRNA from 1 species
UAAGCGGAGGAAAAGGAACUAACAAGGAUUCCCCUAGUAACGGCGAGUGAAGCGGGAAGAGCUCAAAUUUGAAAUCUGGUAGCCUUCGGUUGCCCGAGUUGUAAUCUAGAGAAAUGUUUUCCGUGCCGGCCCAUGUACAAGUCCCUUGGAACAGGGCGUCAUAGAGGGUGAGAAUCCCGUCCUUGACAUGGACCCCCGGUGCUUUGUGAUACAUUUUCAACGAGUCGAGUUGUUUGGGAAUGCAGCUCAAAAUGGGUGGUGAAUUCCAUCUAAAGCUAAAUAUUGGCGAGAGACCGAUAGCGAACAAGUACCGUGAGGGAAAGAUGAAAAGCACUUUGGAAAGAGAGUUAAACAGUACGUGAAAUUGUUGAAAGGGAAACGAUUGAAGUCAGUCAUGCUCUUUGGUAUUUAUAUCAUUGAGUGGGGUCAACAUCAGUUUUGAUCGAUGGAUAAAGGCACUAGGAAGGUAGCACUCUCGGGUGAACUUAUAGCCUAGCGUCAUAUACAUUGAUUGGGACUGAGGAACGCAGCAUGCCUUUAUGGCCGGGAUUCGUCCACGUACAUGCUUAGGAUGUUGACAUAAUGGCUUUAAACGACCCGUCUUGAAACACG